rnacentral:rRNA from 1 species
AACCUGCAAAGGCAAGCGGAUCUCUUAAAGCCGUUCUCAGUUCGGACUGUAGGCUGCAACUCGCCUACACGAAGCUGGAAUCGCUAGUAAUCGCGGAUCAGCACGCCGCGGUGAAUACGUUCCCGGGCCUUGUACACACCGCCCGUCACACCAUGAGAGUCUGUAACACCCAAAGCCGGUGGGAUAACCUUUAUAGGAGUCAGCCGUCUAAGGUAGGACAGAUGAUUAGGGUGAAGUCGUAACAAGGUAAC